rnacentral:sRNA from 1 species
CCCUAGCCGCGAUGGAAACGGCAUCCUUUUUUGUGGCGGACGGAACGGAGUGGAGACCGGUGCAAAAAAGAUACAGUGGACAGCGGGAAACAGC